rnacentral:rRNA from 1 species
AGAGUUUGAUCCUGGCUCAGGACGAUCGCUGGCGGCGCGCCUAACACAUGCAAGUCGAACGGAGCUUAGAGAGCUUGCUUUUUAAGCUUAGUGGCGAACGGGUGAGUAACGCGUGAGUAACCUGCCCUAGAGUGGGGGACAACAGUUGGAAACGACUGCUAAUACCGCAUAAGCCCACGGUACCGCAUGGCACUGAGGGAAAAGGAUUUAUUCGCUUUAGGAUGGACUCGCGUCCAAUUAGCUAGUUGGUGAGGUAACGGCCCACCAAGGCGACGAUUGGUAGCCGGACUGAGAGGUUGAACGGCCACAUUGGGACUGAGACACGGCCCAGACUCCUACGGGAGGCAGCAGUGGGGGAUAUUGCGCAAUGGGGGAAACCCUGACGCAGCAACGCCGCGUGAAGGAUGAAGGUCUUCGGAUUGUAAACUUCUUUUAUUAAGGACGAAGAAAGUGACGGUACUUAAUGAAUAAGCUCCGGCUAACUACGUGCCAGCAGCCGCGGUAAUACGUAGGUGGCAAGCGUUGUCCGGAUUUACUGGGUGUAAAGGGCGUGUAGCCGGGAAGGCAAGUCAGAUGUGAAAUCCACGGGCUUAACUCGUGAACUGCAUUUGAAACUACUUUUCUUGAGUAUCGGAGAGGCAAUCGGAAUUCCUAGUGUAGCGGUGAAAUGCGUAGAUAUUAGGAGGAACACCAGUGGCGAAGGCGGAUUGCUGGACGACAACUGACGGUGAGGCGCGAAAGCGUGGGGAGUAAACAGGAUUAGAUACCCUGGUAGUCCACGCUGUAAACGAUGAAUACUAGGUGUGCGGGGACUGACCCCCUGCGUGCCGCAGUUAACACAAUAAGUAUUCCACCUGGGGAGUACGAUCGCAAGGUUGAAACUCAAAGGAAUUGACGGGGGCCCGCACAAGCGGUGGAUUAUGUGGUUUAAUUCGAAGCAACGCGAAGAACCUUACCAGGUCUUGACAUCCUACUAACGAGAUAGAGAUAUGUUAGGUGCCCUUCGGGGAAAGUAGAGACAGGUGGUGCAUGGUUGUCGUCAGCUCGUGUCGUGAGAUGUUGGGUUAAGUCCCGCAACGAGCGCAACCCUUGCUAUUAGUUGCUACGCAAGAGCACUCUAAUAGGACUGCUGUUGACAAAACGGAGGAAGGUGGGGACGACGUCAAAUCAUCAUGCCCUUUAUGACUUGGGCUACACAUGUAAUACAAUGGUCAUUAACAGAGGGAAGCAAAACAGCGAUGUGGAGCAAAUCCCGAAAAAUUGUCUCAGUUCAGAUUGCAGGCUGAAACUCGCCUGCAUGAAGUCGGAAUUGCUAGUAAUCGCAGAUCAGCAUGCUGCGGUGAAUACGUUCCCGGGCCUUGCACACACCGCCCGUCA